CUUGAUGCUCCCUGUGUUGCUAGAGUUAUGGAGAAGUUGACUAGAAACAAUUCAUCCACCCCCUGUCUGUUCACAAAACGACCCCAAGAUUCGUCCCUCCACCAUCUGGCUAUCCCCCUACUCAUCCUCUAUAUCGUUCUAUAAGCCAAAAGCAUGAUUCUACAACACCUCUUGUUGAUCCAUCAAAUUCUGACCGUCCUAAACGUUUGAAGAAAUCAGAUAAUUCUGAAGUUGAUGGGGAUUCUCCCGGUGAUGUUUUCUUGAUUGAUAUUGAAAACAGAUGUCCCUGAUUCAAUUUCACCCUCCCCAGUUCCUGGAAUGCGUAGAUUUUCAUUU